UUAUUUUUGUGACAUUUUCAUCCCUCUGUGCCACAUGGGUUCUUUAAUUAACGACAAUGGAUGAAAGUUAACGGAUGAAUGAAUUUGUCACAUUUUUUU
rnacentral:pre_miRNA from 1 species